rnacentral:misc_RNA from 1 species
CAACAAUUGAAGUUGUUGUUGUUGCGUAGUUUUGCUCUUGUUAAUAGGAAGAGUGCGAUUUGGAAAGCGAUUCGAAGAUGUUUUUUAAUGGUAGAGACUAUCGACCCCUGCCCCAUCCUCCGGGGGAGGAAUUGGAUGUGGACGUGCGAAGAUUCGUCAGUCCACACAAUUUGGAUUAUUUUAAAUUUCGAGGCAGCAAGAUGAAGAAAGGCCUCUCGAAGCAGUUCGAACCCUCGACCGGUACUUUCGAAGGUUUGGGCGUGUUUGAAAAUAACAUUAAGCCCGCUUAUAGACAAGCUGUGAUGAAAGUUCGACCAAUCUGUCAGACGGCCUGCCAACGUUUUAACAGUCAGAGAUUGGUCGAAGAUGUGGAGGAUGAAGGAAUGUGCGCGGUUCCUCCACGAAACACCAAAGCAGACGAAGACCCGGCAGAGCACGAAGAUAAUCCUGGCCAUUACAGGGAUAGAAAUACAUUGAAGAAAGUCGGGUCGUUCUUUAAGAGCGUGUGGAAACCCGUUAAGAGAUCCGUGCAGAAGGUGUGUAAGAUGGCAAAAAGUGGAGAAUGCGAGUACGUUCGGUUCGAGUAAGGAUCUCUUGGCUUCCAUCUGUCCAUCGACAAUAAGAUCUGCUCUAUGAUUUGCUAUAAAUUAUUUGCUGGAUUUGGGCCGAGUUGGCUUUGGAUAUGGUUUUUACUGAAAACUCCUGAUUUUGACAUCCCGAUUGCGUCAAUACCAAUUUCGAUUAUGACUUCCCGAUUUUGGCUUUGUCCCGGCUGUGUCUCAUUGUCUUGCAGUGAAUUAUCAUUUUCCCAAAUUGGUCUACACGAACUUGGACUCUCGACUCUCGAUUUAUGUCUACCUCACGAAUCUGGACUCUCCCGAAUUUGACUCAUAAAACGUGUCUAUACUCGAAUUUGGACUUUCCCGAAUUACGACAUCCUCGAAUUUGACUCCUGAAUCGUGUCUGAACUCGAAUUUGGACUUUCCCGAAUUACGUCUACCCCGAAUUUGACUCCUGAAUCGUGUCUAUAUUGGAAUUUGGACUCUUCCGGCUUGUGUCUGUGCUCAAAUUUGACUCCCAAUUUCUGUCAUCCCUGGAACCUGGACUCUCCCGAAUUGUGUUUUUACUGGUAUUUAAUUUUUUCAAAUCGUGUUCAUAGUUUGUGACGUGUAAAUUCAACGAAAGUUCGUUGAACGUGAAAAACAGGAAAAGACGAAGUUUUGAUAGACGAAACAGAAGUCUUUGUAAAAUUUUUUGCGAAGAACGAAAGUUUCCGGAUAAAAAAUCGCGUUAAACGAAACGCUUUACGAAACCGCAAGUGGAAUUAUUAAUAGGAAAUUAUAAAUUUGAAUAAAUGCCGCUUCCAGGAUGGUGAAGUUUUAUGAUAAAAAUGCAUUUGGAGAACUCAAAAACCUGAAUAAUUUUAUUCAAUUAAAGUCAUAGAAGAAGACAUUUUCUUUAAUACUUUGGUCCUGAUUCUGUUCGAGAAUUUGUAAAUUUUCGUUCUAAGAUAGUUUGUUGAAUGAUAUAAGUGUAAUUAUAAAGAA